GACGAACCGUGCGAACGUUGUUCGGAAUCACUGGGCUUAAAGGGCGCGUAGGCGGGCGGCCGCGUCCGGGGUGAAAUCCCACGGCUCAACCGUGGAACGGCCUCGGAUACGGGCGGCCUCGAGGGGGGGUAGGGGGCAUCUGGAACUGUGAGUGGAGCGGUGAAAAUGCGUUGAUAUUCACAGGAACUCCGGUGGCGAAGGCGAGGUGCUGGACCCCCAUCUGACGCUGAGGGCGCGAAAAGCCAGG
rnacentral:rRNA from 1 species